rnacentral:rRNA from 1 species
CCCUUAGAUGUUCUGGGCCGCACGCGCGCUACACUGAUGCAUUCAACGAGUCCAACCUUGACCGAGAGGUCCGGGUAAUCUUUGAAACUGCAUCGUGGUGGGGCUAGAUUAUUGCAAUUAUUAAUCUUCAACGAGGAAUGCCUAGUAAGCGUGAUUCAUCAAAUCGCGUUGAUUACGUCCCUGCCCUUUGUACACACCGCCCGUCGCUCCUACCGAUUGAGUGUGUUGGUGAGGAGUUUGGAUUGGCCUCGGAAGGUGGUUCGCCACCGUCCGUAGCUGAGAAGUUCUCCAAACCGCCCCACUUAGAGGAAGGAGAAGUCGUAACA